UACGUAGGGUGCGAGCGUUGUCCGGAAUUACUGGGCGUAAAGAGCUCGUAGGUGGUUUGUCGCGUUGUUCGUGAAAACUCACGGCUUAACUGUGAGCGUGCGGCGAUACGGGCAGACUGGAGUACUGCAGGGGAGACUGGAAUUCCUGGUGUAGCGGUGGAAUGCGCAGAUAUCAGGAGGAACACCGGUGGCGGAGGCGGGUCUCUGGGCAGUAACUGACGCUGGAGGAGCGAAAGCGUGGGGAGCGAACAGG
rnacentral:rRNA from 1 species